rnacentral:misc_RNA from 1 species
GAAUGAAUGUAGAGUCGGUUGUCGCUGGUCCCUUCGGGGGCAUGUGCACGCCUUCUCUUUCAUCCACACACACCUGUGCACUCGUGAGACGGAAGCCCUCGGGCGUCCGUCUGCUCUACAUAAACUCAUAUCUAUAAUUCGAAUGUAAUUGAUGUAACACAUCUUUAAACUAAGUUUCAACAACGGAUCUCUUGGCUCU